rnacentral:rRNA from 1 species
UACGGAAGGGGCAAGCGUUGUUCGGAAUCAUUGGGCGUAAAGGGCGCGUAGGUGGUUCUGUAUGUCUACCGUGAAAGCGUACGGCUCAACCGUAUUUUGUCGGUAGAAACUGCAGGACUUGAGGCUGGGAGGGGCUGGUGGAAUUCCCUGUGUAGCGGUGAAAUGCGUAGAGAUGGGGGAGAACACUCGUGGCGAAGGCGGCCAGCUAGACCAGUUCUGACACUGAGGCGCGACAGCGUGGGGAGCAAACGGG